ACCCCCGCGUAGCAAUAUAAGCUGUUCGUCCCCGAUCUGACAAGGUAUAAUUCUGUCUGCCCUCGGACAAGGCAGUUAACCCACUGUUCCCUAGUAGGCCGUCAUUGUUAAUAAGAAUUUGACAUUAACUGACUUGCCUAGUUACAGGUUACAUUUAAAACCAACAUUAGAGCAGUAAAAAUAAAUUGUUGGCACACCCAUGGUAUACGGUCUGAUAUACCGUGGCUUUCAGCCAAUCAGCAUUCAGGGCUGGAACCACCCAGCUUUAAACGAUUUAGUCUUUGUCAUUCAAAUCAGGAAUGUACGCAAUCAUCUGUAGAUGGAAUGUGUAUUUGUACAAAAUAACAUUAAAAUCAUGCACAGACUAUCUCAAGUUAGUAAUUAUUGCAUGAAAUCAAGACAUGCAUAUGCAUCGUGGGCCGUGAAUAACAACUAUGUUGAUGGGGGUGUUUUCUUGUAUUAGAAGGCAUAUCAUGUUAAUAGAUCAUUGGAACUGAACAGUAGCUUUACAUUCUAGUCCCAAGCCCUUGCAGGAAAAGGUGCUCUUCAUAUAAGGCUGAGACUCCAAGUUCUAUCAGAAGGUCUUUGUAUUAUCAAUAUUUAUGAUUAAAUCGAUGUUGAGCAUUUGCCACCUGAUUUUUGUACUGUCAGUCUAAGUAUUUGUGGAAAACAAAUCGAUAACUAAAGGUUAUGAAUAAUAAUAAUAGUCUGUCUUAUACAUAAAAUGACAAUAGAUCCAAUAUUUAUCUUUAUCAUGCUUAUUUGAGUCGUUGGAGUGUGUUUGCGUGACAUUUUAAAGGGUAUUUGAGAUGGUUUAGCUUCUCCAUUGCUUAGCUUUACCCUGUAGUAGUUUUCACUUGUAUAGCUUUGAUUUGGGCAGAACAUUGUCUAGAUGGGCUGAGUAGUAGUAGUAGUAUAGGCUGGCUUUUCUAUCCUAUCCAGCUAAGGUAAUGGCUCCUGUAUUACAGAGGAAAGUGAAAAUAAACAACGUAAAUUACAAAGCGGGUGCUAUCUGUGUUCAAACUAUUUUAUACUGUGGGCAAACAAAAAAUAUAUAAAAUCGGAUGUGUGUACAGAAAGGCCACUCUCCUUUACCCAUCUUCCCUUGAAGGUCUACAUUUGAAAUAACAUCCCUGUUUAGUAGAGAAACUUAUUUUCUUAACUCAAAUGUAACAAUGAAUGUACUUACGGCCAGUGUAUUUGUAAUAAGUUGUAUCCACCUGUAAUUUAUGCUUGUAUCCAUAAUUUUUUUUAAUGCAUGCUCAUUAUCCUCAGUCCACAAACCUUAAACUGAUUGGCUCCUGAAAGUGGGAUAAAGUCCAACUUCAGUCUUUGUUUUCCUAAGUACCUUAGCAUAGGCUAACAUCACAUAUUGUCAAAUAAUUAAU
ensembl:lncRNA